rnacentral:misc_RNA from 1 species
UCCGAGUUGACCCCGGCAGUCUCUUACGAGUCCCCACCAUAACGUGCUGGCAACAUAAGAUAGGGGUUGCGCUCGUUGCGGGACUUAACCCAACGUCUCACGACACGAGCUGACGACAGCCAUGCACCACCUGUAUACCGACCACAAGGGGGGCCACAUCUCUGCAGCUUUCCGGUAUAUGUCAAACCCAGGUAAGGUUCUUCGCGUUGCAUCGAAUUAAUCCACAUGCUCCGCUGCUUGUGCGGGCCCCCGUCAAUUCUUUUGAGUUUUAGCCUUGCGGCCGUACUCCCCAGGCGGAACACUUAACGCGUUGGCUUCGGCACAGAGGGAUGACGUCGGAGGAAUUCCA